GGGUUGUGAGGUUAAGCGACUAAGCGUACACGGUGGAUGCCCUGGCAGUCAGAGGCGAUGAAGGACGUGCUAAUCUGCGAAAAGCGUCGGUAAGGUGAUAUGAACCGUUAUAGCCGGCGAUGUCCGAAUGGGGAAACCCAGUGCAAUUCGUUGCACUAUCGUUUGAUGAAUACAUAGUCAAACGAGGCGAACCGGGGGAACUGAAACAUCUAAGUACCCCGAGGAAAAGAAAUCAACCGAGAUUCCCCCAGUAGCGGCGAGCGAACGGGGAGCAGCCCGGAGUCUGAAUCAGCUUGUGUGUUAGUGGAAGCGUCUGGAAAGUCGCAGGGUACAGGGUGAUACUCCCGUACACUAAAACACACAGGUUGUGAACUCGAAGAGUAGGGCGGGACACGUGGUAUCCUGUCUGAAUAUGGGGGGACCAUCCUCCAAGGCUAAAUACUCCUGACUGACCGAUAGUGAACCAGUACCGUGAGGGAAAGGCGAAAAGAACCCCGGCGAGGGGAGUGAAAAAGAACCUGAAACCGUGUACGUACAAGCAGUAGGAGCCCACUAGUUGGGUGACUGCGUACCUUUUGUAUAAUGGGUCAGCGACUUAUAUUCUGUAGCAAGGUUAACCGUAUAGGGGAGCCGCAGGGAAACCGAGUCUUAACUGGGCGUUAAGUUGCAGGGUAUAGACCCGAAACCCGGUGAUCUAGCCAUGGGCAGGUUGAAGGUUGGGUAACACUAACUGGAGGACCGAACCGACUAAUGUUGAAAAAUUAGCGGAUGACUUGUGGCUGGGGGUGAAAGGCCAAUCAAACCGGGAGAUAGCUGGUUCUCCCCGAAAGCUAUUUAGGUAGCGCCUCGUGAACUCAUCUUCGGGGGUAGAGCACUGUUUCGGCUAGGGGGUCAUCCCGACUUACCAACCCGAUGCAAACUACGAAUACCGAAGAAUGUUAUCACGGGAGACACACGGCGGGUGCUAACGUCCGUCGUGAAGAGGGAAACAACCCAGACCGCCAGCUAAGGUCCCAAAGUCAUGGUUAAGUGGGAAACGAUGUGGGAAGGCCCAGACAGCCAGGAUGUUGGCUUAGAAGCAGCCAUCAUUUAAAGAAAGCGUAAUAGCUCACUGGUCGAGUCGGCCUGCGCGGAAGAUGUAACGGGGCUAAACCAUGCACCGAAGCUGCGGCAGCGACGCUUAUGCGUUGUUGGGUAGGGGAGCGUUCUGUAAGCCGUUGAAGGUGGCCUGUGAGGGUUGCUGGAGGUAUCAGAAGUGCGAAUGCUGACAUAAGUAACGAUAAUGCGGGUGAAAAACCCGCACGCCGGAAGACCAAGGGUUCCUGUCCAACGUUAAUCGGGGCAGGGUGAGUCGACCCCUAAGGCGAGGCCGAAAGGCGUAGUCGAUGGGAAACAGGUUAAUAUUCCUGUACUCGGUGUUACUGCGAAGGGGGGACGGAGAAGGCUAUGUUGGCCGGGCGACGGUUGUCCCGGUUUAAGCAUGUAGGCGGAUGUUCCAGGUAAAUCCGGAACGUCACUAACGCUGAGGUGUGAUGACGAGGCACUACGGUGCUGAAGUGACAAAUGCCCUGCUUCCAGGAAAAGCCUCUAAGCAUCAGGUAACAUCAAAUCGUACCCCAAACCGACACAGGUGGUCAGGUAGAGAAUACCAAGGCGCUUGAGAGAACUCGGGUGAAGGAACUAGGCAAAAUGGUGCCGUAACUUCGGGAGAAGGCACGCUGAUGGUAGGUGAAGUGACUUGCUCAUGGAGCUGAAAUCAGUCGAAGAUACCAGCUGGCUGCAACUGUUUAUUAAAAACACAGCACUGUGCAAACACGAAAGUGGACGUAUACGGUGUGACGCCUGCCCGGUGCCGGAAGGUUAAUUGAUGGGGUUAUCCGUAAGGAGAAGCUCUUGAUCGAAGCCCCGGUAAACGGCGGCCGUAACUAUAACGGUCCUAAGGUAGCGAAAUUCCUUGUCGGGUAAGUUCCGACCUGCACGAAUGGCGUAAUGAUGGCCAGGCUGUCUCCACCCGAGACUCAGUGAAAUUGAACUCGCUGUGAAGAUGCAGUGUACCCGCGGCAAGACGGAAAGACCCCGUGAACCUUUACUAUAGCUUGACACUGAACACUGGUCCUUGAUGUGUAGGAUAGGUGGGAGGCUUUGAAGUGUGGACGCCAGUCUGCAUGGAGCCAUCCUUGAAAUACCACCCUUUAAUGGCUGGUGUUCUAACGUGGGCCCCUAAUCGGGGUUGCGGACAGUGUCUGGUGGGUAGUUUGACUGGGGCGGUCUCCUCCUAAAGAGUAACGGAGGAGCACGAAGGUCAGCUAAUCCUGGUCGGACAUCAGGAGGUUAGUGCAAUGGCAUAAGCUGGCUUGACUGCGAGCGUGACGGCGCGAGCAGGUGCGAAAGCAGGUCAUAGUGAUCCGGUGGUUCUGAAUGGAAGGGCCAUCGCUCAACGGAUAAAAGGUACUCCGGGGAUAACAGGCUGAUACCGCCCAAGAGUUCAUAUCGACGGCGGUGUUUGGCACCUCGAUGUCGGCUCAUCACAUCCUGGGGCUGAAGUAGGUCCCAAGGGUAUGGCUGUUCGCCAUUUAAAGUGGUACGCGAGCUGGGUUUAGAACGUCGUGAGACAGUUCGGUCCCUAUCUGCCGUGGGCGCUGGAGAAUUGAGGGGGGCUGCUCCUAGUACGAGAGGACCGGAGUGGACGCAUCACUGGUGUUCGGGUUGUCAUGCCAAUGGCAUUGCCCGGUAGCUAAAUGCGGAAGAGAUAAGUGCUGAAAGCAUCUAAGCACGAAACUUGCCCCGAGAUGAGUUCUCCCUGACUCCCUGAGAGUCCUGAAGGAACGUUGAAGACGACGACGUUGAUAGGCCGGGUGUGUAAGCGCAGCGAUGCGUUGAGCUAACCGGUACUAAUGAACCGUGAGGCUUAACCUUACAACGCCGAAG
rnacentral:rRNA from 1 species